rnacentral:rRNA from 1 species
CUACAAGCUUACCAACAUCAGCCAAACUCCGAAUGCCGGUAAGUGAGAGCGUGGCAGUGAGACUGUGGGGGAUAAGCUUCAUAGUCGAGAGGGAAACAACCCAGAAUAGCAACUAAGGUCCCAAAGCCUGUGCUAAGUGGAAAAGGAUGUGGAGUCGUAUAGACAACCAGGAUGUUGGCUUAGAAGCAGCCACCAUUUAAAGAGUGCGUAAUAGCUCACUGGUCAAAUGAUUCCGCGCCGACAAUGUAACGGGGCUCAAGCACAGCACCGAAGUUCUAUCAUUCACACAUUAUCCCGGUCGCAAGAUCCAGGAGUGUGGAUGGGUAGGAGAGCGUUGUGUGGCUGGUGAAGCGGCGGAGGAAUCCAGCCGUGGAAGCCACACAAGUGAGAAUGUAGACAUGAGUAGCGAGAGAAGUGUGAGAAACAUUUCCGCCGAAAGACCAAGGGUUCCUGGGCCAGGCUAAUCCGCCCAGGGUAAGUCGGGACCUAAGGCGAGGCCGUCAGGCGUAGUCGAUGGACAACUGGUUGAUAUUCCAGUACCCGCUUUAAUUCGCCCAUGACGAACCCACUAAUGCUAAGAGUUUGAAUCCUGUUCGGCGUAAGCCGCGUGGGUGGAUGGCUCGAACCGGUGUGGUAGUAGUUAAGCAAUGGUGUGACACAGGAAGGCAGUCCAGCCCGGGCGAUGGUUGUCCCGGGGUAAGGCUGUAGGGGGUGUUGUAGGUAAAUCCGCAACACAAAUACCCUGAGAGCUGAUGCCGAGCCGUAAGGCGAAGUGGAUGAUCCUAUGCUGUCAAGAAAAGCAUCUAGCGAGAAUUAUUGCGGCCCGUACCCGAAACCGACACAGGUGGUCAGGUAGAGAAUACCAAGGCGAUCGAGAGAAUCAUGGAUAAGGAACUCGGCAAAAUGCCCCCGUAACUUCGGGAGAAGGGGGGCCCUUCGACGUGUAGGAGUUUACCUCCGAAGCGUUGGAAGGCCGCAGAGACCAGGCUCAAGCGACUGUUUACCAAAAACACAGGUCCGUGCGAAGUAGCAAUACGAUGUAUACGGACUGACGCCUGCCCGGUGCUGGAAGGUUAAGGGGACUGGUUAGCCGCAAGGCGAAGCUGAGAACUUAAGCCCCAGUAAACGGCGGUGGUAACUAUAACCAUCCUAAGGUAGCGAAAUUCCUUGUCGGGUAAGUUCCGACCUGCACGAAUGGCGUAACGACUUGAGCGCUGUCUCAUCCGUAAACUCGGCGAAAUUGCAGUACGAGUAAAGAUGCUCGUUACGCGCAG